CUACUUACAUCAAUCUUCAAACCAUCUUUCUGCUCCUCCAGAUGUCAUGUUCAUGUCAGUCUGAGAGCGAGGAAAGAAGGAAGAUUAGGAUUAAGGGUCACAGACAUUUGGUGACACAAGCGAGUGAACACGGAAGAAAAUAUGACGACUGUAACAGCUCCCGCUCUUUUUGGAACACUUUGGUUCGCCUUGGCGGAAGUCGUCGCGCGACUUCCCGAUUGGCUGCUUUCGAUCGCUACAAGAAGAAAUCCAACGGUGGCUUUUGCACAGC